rnacentral:rRNA from 1 species
GAACUGAAGAGUUUGAUCCUGGCUCAGAUUGAACGCUGGCGGCAUGCCUUACACAUGCAAGUCGGAC